UGUAUCUGAAAUCAAGCAGGAUCACCCGCUGAACUUAAGCAUAUCACUAAGCGGAGGAGAAGAAAUUAACAAAGAUUGCCUCAGUAACGGCGAGUGAAGMGGCAAAAGCCCAAACUGGAAAUCUUGUGCGCUUGCGUACACGAAUUGUAAUCUAUAGAGGAUUAGCUCAACGGGCGGUGGCGCAGAAGUGACCUCGAACGGUCCGCCAGAGAGGGUGACAGCCCCGUAUGUGGUGCCACUGCUUAACGAGCUGGUUUUCUUCGAGUCGGGUUGUUUUGUAUUGCAGCCCUAAGUGGGAGAUAAACUUCUUCUAAGGCUAAAUAUCUAUGGGAAACCGAUAGCGAACAAGUACUGUGAAGGAAAGAUGAAAAGAACUUUGAAAAGAGAGUUAAAAGACUUGAAAUCGUUGAGAAGGAAGGGGUAGACAUUUAUCCUACGGCGGAGGACGGUCGCAGUCGCCAAACCAUUGCAGGYUAAUAGAACGUAAAAGGCUCUGGUUUGCACGUGGGGAAGUGGCUGUUUGGACUCCGCAGUGAGGCAAGAUGGGGUCGUGUGGCCUCAAAGGCUUCUUACGAUAAGGCGUCUUCGGAUGUCAGCGUGGGUGUGCCGGGGGACAUGCGGCCUGAGGAAGCUUAGGCGAUCUUGCCAAAAUGGUGUUUACCCACCCGUCUUGAAACACGGACCAAGGAGUCUAACACAUAUGCGAGUGUGCUGGUGGAGAAACCAACACGCGUAAUGAAAGUGAGUGAUGCCAAGCGCAAGCAGCAGCAUCAACCGACCAUGAUCCUCUGGUGAAAGGUUUGAGUAAGAGCAUAUCUGUUAGGACCCGAAAGAUGGUGAACUAUGCCUGAGUAGGGUGAAGCCAGGGGAAACUCUGGUGGAGGCUCGUAGCGGUUCUGACGUGCAAAUCGAUCGUCAAACUUGGGUAUAGGGGCGAAAGACUAAUCGAACCAUCUAGUAGCUGGUUCCCUCCGAAGUUUCCCUCAGGAUAGCUGGGACAAUUACGCAGUUUUAUUAGGUAAAGCGAAUGAUUAGAGGCAUCGGGGGUAAAAUGCCCUCGACCUAUUCUCAAACUCUAAAUUGGUAAGAACCCUGGCCUUUCUUAAGUGAGGCACAGGGGCUCAAUGCGUGUCCCAAGUGGGCCAUUUUUGGUAAGCAGAACUGGCGAUGAGGGAUGCUCCUAACGUUGAGUUAAGGUGCCCAACUGCACGCUCAUCAGACAACACAAAGGGUGUUGGUUCAUACAGACAGCAGGACGGUGGCCAUGGAAGUCGGAACCCGCUAAGGAGUGUGUAACAACUCACCUGCCGAAUGAACUAGCCCCGAAAAUGGAUGGCGCUCAAGCCGUGCGACCGAUACUCGACCAUU
rnacentral:rRNA from 1 species